CUUCAACAUUCAUUUAGCUAUGAGUGUUGAAACUUAAAUAGCAACACAAUGGGAAGCCAGAGAUGUCUGAGGCUGAAGGACUUAAGGCGCUGAAGCUCAUGAUGUGAGGCAAAUCCUCUCCGACUGCAAUUCCUCCCUAACUACAUUCCCCUGGACGCUUUCCUUUACCUGGCACACCACUGAAAAAAAGAAGAGGAACCCAUGUUUCAAACCAACGGAUUGUUUAGCAGCCACAUCUGUACAAGCUCAAAAAAAAAAGAAAAGAAAAAGCCUGGGUGCUUUCUCCUUUGGCACCAGCGAGACAUCCAAACCAUGGAAACCUCUGCCCAUAUGGAAUGCUCACCCUGGUCCCACGGUGAAUCAUAAUAGAGACCCAAGCCAGUCACCUUUCCUGGCCCUCACAAACCAUUUCUGACCUGCUUGAGAGGUCUGCCCGGUUCUCCCAGAGACCUCAAUUAUAGUUGAAGACCAUGUAUAUACAAGAAGCGAGAGUAGAGACCUGCUACUAAGGCCAGUGGGAAAGCGAAAGCACUUGGUGAUCUCUUUACGCAUACCUGCUCCCCUUCCACUUUCCACCAUGACUGGAAGCACCAUGAGGCCCUCACCAGAUGGAGCUGCUCAAUCUUAAACUUUUCAGCCACCAGAAUUAUAAGCCAAAUAAACUUCUUUUCUUUAUAAAUUACCCAGCCUCAGGCAUUCUGUUAUGGCAACACAAGAUGGACAAAGACAAUGCUAGAACUACUAGAAAGUGAGUUUUCUCUUUUGCCCUGGACUGACCAGACACCACCACUUGGAGCCUGAAACUAAAGCUGAUGGAGUAGAAGGCAGAGCUGAUAGAGAGAAACAGAUUUGCGAUAAUAGCAUUUCUACCUUGUCUUUUCUACUGUAAGCAUAUUUUUACCUGUAAGUCCAGUCUUAUAGCAGUCUUACUUGUGGACUCUAACAUCACGUUAUAGAUUCAUGUUUUGGCUUAAACCAGGUUGAAUUGGGUUUGUCACUUACAAUUGGAGGAGUCUGGUUUAUUAUUGCAUCUACCCCAACCAA